ACUUUCUUUUAUCAUAAUUAUUUUUUAACAAGUUAAAAUUUAAAUUUCUUUAUGUUUUAUUGAAGACAUUUGUUUAAAAUGCAUAGUUAUUUUCCUAUAGAGAUGAAGAUAAUUACAACUGAAACAGUGGUGACAGAACACUGGUGAACACCUGCUUAAGAAUAGAGGUUUAAAGCAGAAGUAACUUCCUAGAGAAGAACCUGGAAACUCAUCAGCUGCAGAGACAAACAGACGGCCCAAAGAGCAGAAGAGCGAGCACGCAGAUGUGAACCGUAUCGAGACCGCAGUUGACGGCUGAACGCCUUUGAUCCCGCGUGCGAGAGCGAUGAACUUUGGGUUUCGUGUGAAAAAGUGGGAAAAUGAAUAUUGUAAAGCCUCAUUUGUUAAAACAUGAGUGAAGGAAAAAUAACCCUUCUUGAAAAGUAAUCCAAUAAAAGAUUUAGGUUGA